rnacentral:rRNA from 1 species
UACGUAGGGGGCAAGCGUUGUCCGGAUUUAUUGGGCGUAAAGAGCGUGUAGGCGGCCUGGAAGGUCAGCUGUGAAAACUCGAGGCUCAACCUCGAGACGUCGGUUGAAACCACCUGGCUAGAGUCCGGAAGAGGAGAGUGGAAUUCCCGGUGUAGCGGUGAAAUGCGCAGAUAUCGGGAGGAACACCUGUGGCGAAAGCGGCUCACUGGACCACAACUGACGCUGAGGCGCGAAAGCUAGGGGAGCAAACAGG